rnacentral:rRNA from 1 species
UACGUAGGGUGCGAGCGUUGUCCGGAUUUAUUGGGCGUAAAGAGCUCGUAGGCGGUUUGUCGCGUCUGCCGUGAAAGUCCGAGGCCUCAACUCCGGAUCUGCGGUGGGUACGGGCAGACUAGAGUGAUGUAGGGGAGACUGGAAUUCCUGGUGUAGCGGUGAAAUGCGCAGAUAUCAGGAGGAACACCGAUGGCGAAGGCAGGUCUCUGGGCAUUAACUGACGCUGAGGAGCGAAAGCUGGGGAGCGAACAGG